CAUGAUAGCGAGGGGUCGUGUGUUAAUUUAAAUGGUAUUGUUAGAGAAGAUUGGCAUGGCCCCUGCGCAUGGAUGACACGCAAAUUCGUGAAGCAUUCCAUAUUUUU
ensembl:snRNA U6 U6 spliceosomal RNA